UACGUAGGGUGCGAGCGUUAAUCGGAAUUACUGGGCGUAAAGCGUGCGCAGGCGGUUCGUUAUGUCCGAUGUGAAAGCCCCGAGCUCAACUUGGGAAUGGCAUUGGAAACUGGCGGGCUGGAGUGUGGCAGAGGGGGGUGGGAAUUCCACGGUGUAGCAGUGAAAUGCGUAGGAGAAUGUGGAGGAACACCGAGUGGACAGGAAGGACCAGCCCCCUGGGGCCAAC
rnacentral:rRNA from 1 species